rnacentral:misc_RNA from 1 species
ACUGGUCCCAAACCGGCCGGCGCCACGCCACGCUCCCGCCACCUACACCGCUCCAAACGCUCUUCAACAGCGGGGCUACUUCUUCUCUUCCUGUUUUACUUCAAUACUGUGUGUGUGCUGCCGGUGCUGAUAAUACUGUUUUACGAACGCUGAUACCGUGGUUGCCCCACUGUGCCCCGCUGCCCCGCCCGUGCCCGCCCGCCCGCCCGUGCCCGCCCGUGCCCCGCUCGUGACCACCCACCGCCCAGCCCAGCCCAGCCUGCUGCCCACUCCACACUCUGAGACCCUGCCUGGAGCACACCAUCCUCUGGUGCGCCCACGCCUUUAGUCUUCACCACGGACUCUAGUCUGGCCCCAUACCCAGGGUCCCCCGGUCCCGCCCUCACCACAGGCAACAUGGCCACCAUAGAAAACAAGUCCCUGUCCACCGAAGGACCCUCAGCCUCCCUUUCAAUGAGACUAUUAAUGCAAGGAAAGGAAGUGGGCAGUAUCAUCGGCAAGAAAGGAGAGAUUGUUAAGCGGUUCAGAGAAGAAUCUGGCGCGAAGAUCAACAUCAGCGAUGGCUCGUGCCCCGAGAGGAUCGUCACCGUCACCGGUAACACUGACUCCAUCUUCACAGCCUUCAAACUCAUAUGUGCCAAGUUCGAAGAGUUCCUUGGUCAGAUGUACCAGAACAACGGCAGCGCAGGAGGCGGCGGCGGCCAGCAGAGGCCCCCCAUCACCCUGCGGCUGAUCGUGCCCGCCUCGCAGUGCGGCUCGCUCAUCGGCAAGGGCGGCUCCAAGAUCAAGGAGAUCCGCGAAGUGACCGGCGCCUCCAUCCAGGUGGCGUCCGAAAUGCUGCCCAACUCCACGGAGCGCGCCGUCACCGUGUCGGGCACGUCCGAGGCCAUCACGCAGUGUAUCUACAACAUAUGCUGCGUUAUGCUAGAGUCCCCUCCCAAAGGCGCCACGAUCCCUUACCGCCCCAAACCCCAGGUGGCCGGGGGUCCGGUGAUCCUUGCCGGCGGCCAGGCCUAUACUAUCCAGGGUAAUUAUGCAGUGCCCUCAGCGCCCGAUGUAAGUACCGUUCCCUUUGUUCCCCCACCACCACCUGGGGGGCCCCCCGGCCCCGGCCCCUUCAUGGCGGCCCCCCUAAGCCCCCUCCUGGCCCCAUGUCCCGUCUCCACGGCGCCCUCCCCAGGCCCCCCACACCACGGCGCCAUCAUGACGCCCGCGGGCCACCACCCGUGCCAUGCGGGCCACUUGCAGAUCUCGACCCCGGGCCACCCGCCGGGCCAUCCCCCGGGCCACCCACCCGAACACUUGAAGAACGGCCAUAUCAGCGUAAUGGCACAACCACAGCUGCAGCACCUCCAGGAUAUGUCCAAGCUUGGUAACUCUCCCUUAGCGGGUCUUCUGGGCCUAGGAAACCUCGCAGGCGCCAACCCUGUCAACCCUACCGGCAACACAGCUGAUGCCUUGGCGGCCCUCGCCGGCUCGCAGCUGAGGACCCCCGCAGGAUCGGGUCCCGGCUCACAGACUCACGAGAUGACGGUGCCCAACGAGCUCAUAGGCUGCAUCAUCGGCAAGGGAGGCACGAAGAUCGCCGAGAUCAGGCAAAUCACAGGCGCCAUGAUCACCAUUAGCAAAUAUGAUGACGGUUCAGAAGACGCAAGCAAGCAAGAUCGAACCAUCACUAUCAAGGGUAACGCUGACCAGGUGGCUCUCGCGCAGUACCUCAUCAACACCAGCAUGGAACUGCACAAGGCGCAGCUUGAAGUAAGUAAGGGCGGGUCGACCGGGUCGGGUGGGCUGAGCCCCAGUGCCAUCCCCCUGGCCCAGCUGCUCAAGAACCCGCAAGCCCUGAACGCCUUGUCCUCCCUGACCGGCCUGCAGGGCCUGUCCUCCCUCACCUCCCUGCUCGCCCCAGACUCCUCCCAGGGCCUGGCCGGUAUUGCGGCUGCCCACAGGCACAACAAGGCCUACCAACCCAAGCUCCGCGCCCAAGCCUCCGCCCACCAGCCCACUAAUGGCACCCCCAAGGAGAACAAGCGCAGCAAGUUCGCACCCUACUAGACCUGAUCCUCUCCCAGGGGGCCCCGCUCCUCUCCGGGCGCAGAGCGUCCUCAUCCUCCACUCCUGAUGAACCCCGUGGCGCCCCAACAAACAUGGGGACUCAGUUUUCCCGCGUGUCGGCGCCCCCUCACCCCGGCGGGCCGCUCUGACGCGCCGCUGGGGUCAGAGAGCGUCACACUUUUCAGAUCUGAGUAGGAACAGUUCUCGGCACACGAGGCGCCCACGCCCGCAAUGCUUGCCCGCCCUGCUAGCAGGCGGGGGCGCGAGCCAUGCGAGGUGGGCGCGGGCGCGUGGUGAGGGCUGUGCGUGUUGGUGUCAGAUGGUCACUGUCACUAGGCCAGCAGCUGCUUGUUAUACAAGGUGGUCUCCGCUGCUCAGUCCAGCCCAGACCACCUGCCACCUCUCAACUAAACAUAUCAGUUAGGACAAUUGAUUCUUUGUUUCCUGUUGUUUUUUAUAACGGCAUCAAGCAGAAGAAGCUGAAAGCAUAUUUGCAUUGUCACAAGUUUCCUAGAGUUCUCUGUAAACGUCAUGCAUGGUUACUGUGUUUGUUAGUCAUGGUUCAUCUGGUGACAGUCUCAGAUUCACACGUUCUACCAAUUAAUAUAAAAAUAUAUAUAUAUAAGAAAAGACUAAAAAUUGUCAAGUCCCCAAAAAAUAUUACCCAAAAAAUAUAGUAAAAGAGUAUUGAAGCGAGAGAUGUACAUACUAAGCUUUUAAGAAUUAGUUGAUGAUUUAGGGCACAGACGGUGAGCGGCCCUGAGUGCCUCGCCCCAAAGCGGCUUGGGGAUAUGGAGGAAAGCUGGGCACUGUGACCAGAUUCACCGCCUCUCUCUUCUCUGUCUCUCUCUCUUUCUCUCUCACUCUUUCUCUCACUCUCUCUCUCUUUCUCUGUCUAUCUCAUAAUUUAGCAUCGCAAAAGGCUGAGCACGUGUGCCGUAGUUGCUCGGUUUAGUCACUUUAGGAUAUGGCAUUAAUUACUACUACAUACUUAAUGUGUUUUAAGUAAUUCAUUGAAAAGUACAUGUGGGUACAAAACUCAGCUGUUUUCCUUUUUCAUCAUAAUGUAUGGAAUGUACAGUUUUGCAAUAAGUUAAUUGUCUCUUUAGAAGUACUGGUGUUCAAUCGUAAGCUCAAUAUGUGAAUGUUUCUUCCACUAGAUAUUAAACAAGUGUAAAGUUUGAGGAA